rnacentral:lncRNA from 1 species
GUGAACUCAGCUGAGUUGCACUCUUUCCAAAUUUCUUCCCGAGUUUUACUAAGAGGAGUAUAGUUGCUGAAAGUGCUGGGAGGUCCACGGGGUUCUCUAGGCCUUUCGCCUCUUCGUCUUCCUCCUCCUCGGCUGGACUGUUCAGCAUUUGAAUGAGGAGCAGGCUGGUUGUUUCCUGCUNNNNNNNNNUUCCUCAUAUUGGAUGUAGGCUUGAGAUUUAAGGAGGAGGUCGCUAAAGGUGCGUGGUUUUUCAAUUCCCACGGCUCUUGCAAAGUCACUGUUUGGCCUAAGGCCCCUUUGUAGCAGGUAUUUCUUCUUGUCAUCAGUUGUUUCUACCUGGACGGCUUCCUUGUUGAACCUCUCUAUGAAACUGCGGAGGGAUUCAUUAUCAGCUUGGAAGAUGGCGUCCAGGACUGCCUCAGUCUUUGGCUGCUUGCGGGAAGCAGUGAAGUGCCUGCAGAACUGGUCGGUCAGAUCCAUCCAUGAGAUAACGGAGCGAGGAGCUAGGCUGUGGUACCAGGCUAUAGCUCCCUUUCUUAGUGUCGUUGGGAAGAUUCUGCAUCUAAUUGCUCCGCUGACCCUUAAGAAGUUCAGGGUAGCAUUGACUGAUGCGAUGUGUUCAUCUGGGUCAGUAAGUCCAUCAUAAGCUGAGAGAGGAGGUGGUCGCUCACAUCCCUUUGGAACGGGUGCUUGAAGUAUGUCGUGAGAUAAAGGGCAGCGGGGAUCGUCCUCGUCACUCUCUUGUGAGUUUAGGGGAGGUGAGCCCUCACGAUCAGGAGUUGGGCUCCUGGAG